ACGGCCUAAAGCGUGAUUAAAUUAUAUUAAAAUAAAUAGAAAUAAAAAUUAACUCAACUGUCAUACGUUUGUGUUAAAUGGUGAACCAAAAACGAAAGAUAUUCUAACAAACAAAUUAUUUGAAUCCACGAAAGCUAAGAAACAAACUAGGAUUAGAUACCCUACUAUGCUUAGCCCUAAACUUUGGAACCACCCCGCCCGAGUACUACGAGCCACAGCUUAAAACUCAAAGGACUUGGCGGUGCUCUACACCCCCCUAGAGGAGCCUGUUCUAUAAUUGAUACCCCCCGCUAAACCUCACCACUUAUUGCCAAUCCCGCCUAUAUACCGCCGUCGUCAGCUCACCAUUUAAAUGAAGAAUAGUAGGCAUAAUGAUAAACAUAAAAACGUCAGGUCAAGGUGUAGCGAAUUAAGUGGAAAGAAAUGGGCUACAUUUUCUAAACUAGAAAAAUACGAAAAAUUUUAUGAAAAACUAUUUAAAGGUGGAUUUAGCAGUAAAAAGAAAAUAGAGUGUUCUUUUUAAAUAGGCCAUAGAGCGCGCACACACCGCCCGUCACCCUCCUCAAAAACCAACCAAUUAUAUAAUAAAAGAAAAUAAAAGAAGAGGUAAGUCGUAACAUGGUAAGUUUACCGGAAGGUGUACUUGGAUUAU
rnacentral:rRNA from 1 species